UUUACACUUUCCACCUGUGAUUGCAUAGAUCAGUCCUUAGCUGCUGAUUGGUUGAAGGUUGCCCCUAAACACCUUGAGCCAGAUGCAGAUUCUGCCCAAGAAGCCCCUGCAUUGCAGAGGGACUGGAGAUCUGUAUGAUCUGUUUAUUUCGCAAUUGACAAGGCCAUAAGGAUGAGUUUACCAUUAUUCCUGUACUGGUUGGAGCUCUGAGUGAGUCAAAAGAACAGGAAUUCGGAAAACUCUUCAGUAA